GGCCCUCCAUGGCACAUGAUUGUACACCCCUGACCUAAAGCUCCUUAAAAUAUAUUGUCCUUUGUUCUUACCGUACAUGGAUUUUUCUUAGGGUCAACUACAUGUCAGCAGUAUGUUUAGAAAUGUGGACAGGUAUAUAUACUUGAACAGUCUCAGACCAAUCUUUGUUACACUUUGUUAAACUUGUGUUAUGAUGAAGCUGUAACCCAGACCUGCAAUCAGUAAAGCUUGUCAAAAUGAUCAUUCGUGUGGACCUUCCAUUUUUUAUAGUGUGAACCUGGGCUAGGCAUCCUUACAAAAACACUGCUGCUUCUCAGUCUAGGUUGGGGAACAACUAAACUUUGCUGAAACAUGGAUGAUUAAGAUAGAGGACAGUGGUUUUAAUAGAAAAAACAAAUUGAAUUUAUUUAGCACCUUUCAAAGUUUCAUAAUGUUCAGCCACUACUGUUAUUUAAUUAUUUUUUCUCUCUCUCAAUGUCAGAAAAUAGUUUUUAUUCCUGUGUCUGGAGUCAGCUGAAAAACUGUGAAGGGAAAAUAACCAGAGUCUCUGCCUCUGUAACCUGAGGUUCAGAUUAAAUGUUUCUGUUUCUCCAUGUUUCCUAAACUGGUUCCUAAAGGAUUCAGUUUUUAUACUGAAAAACAUACAGCAGAAUAAGAUAAUGAAGUUAGGGGCUUAAUAAAAUGUUUCAGAUGAUUUCAGGGCUUCAGAUGGAGGUUUAUGAUUACUUUGUGUAUUUUGCAUCAAUGACAGAUCCAGACAGUGAUUUACUACCCCAGUAUUUAUUUGUACCUUGAUGCUCAGAAGUCUU